AGUGCAGGUAACUGUUUUAUUCAGACAUAUAUGAUUAAUCAUCAUCCAUCAAUAUGUGAACUCCAUUGAGCAAGUAUAUUGUAAAGUCAGAACUAAAAAGAGGAACAUUUGGUUCCACCAUUUCACCUUAUUUUGUGCUAAGGGGAAGUAUUUAGAGAUUGAAUUGAUGGCAAUUACUUCAGUCUUUAAACCUGUUAUUAGUGUUGAUAAUGUUGAUUCUAUUCUGUCGCACAUUGUUGUGAACAGCUUGGAAAUACCUUGCGAGGUUUCCUUAAGCUGUUCCUAGUUUGGCAUCAAGUUUGUCUGUGUUCUCUGCUCCUCCUCCCCUCCUGUUAAGACUGCAGCUUAGUAUUCCGUUUGAAAUUAGUCAUCUCAUUUCACCAAGACUCGCUCUUAAAAGAAGACUUGCCAUUAUAUGUCCUACUCAGUUAGGGAGGAAAAGAAGGGGAAUGCUGGGGCCAACUGCCAAGCUAGUUAUGCACUUGUAUCUAAUAUAUUGAUUUGAAUAUGAUGACCUCUAUAUUGUCAGUUUCUGAAUUUUUGCAACACAGAUGAGCCUCUCCCAUGUGCUUAUGAAAGUUUUUACCUUUUCUUCAAUAUGAAGUCUGAAUGUGUGGUGUGGCCUGUCUGAUCUAUCUAGCAGGUUUAGUGGUACUCGCAUCAGCUAAACCUUAAACUUGUUUUCUUCUUAAUGCCUCCGUGAUCGGUUUAAGUUCUUUCGCUGCAGAGAUGGCAGCGGCGGCGGGGCCGUACAAAGAGAUGCUGGAAGUGGUGAACGCGUGCGCGGCCCGGAUCCGGUGGCGCCUCCGUCCAGCUUCCAAGCGCCGCCUCCUCAACAGUCAGUGCCCACUCGCUUGCUGCUUUCUCUUAGUAGUUGUAGUCGUUUUUUAACGGGAAAUACAGCAGGGAAGCCACCAGCCCACCACUAUAUAGGAUUUUAUUAAUUGAAAAAUAGUGUUAAUGCACGACCACGAAGAAAAAGUAAAUUCAUGAACAAAUCUACCUAACUUAUGAUUUCUGUUGGAUUUUAACUCUAGUCUACCUCUUUGAAAUUAAAAGGUUGUGCUGUGGUUGUUGAUGAACAAACCUAGUUGUUGCCAGAAUAUCCUGUUUCUCUGCACUGGGUUGCGGCUUGUGGUACUGGUCGACUAUGGUGGCACAAUGCCUCAACUACAAGAAAAUCUUUGUGGCCUGCUAUAUCUUGCCCGACAGUUCAAACUUUGCAAGGUGAGGUCUGUUCAGUUUGGCCAGAAAGGCAUCCCCUACCUGAACACCUACGACGGCCGCACCAUCCGCUACCCCGACCCUCUCAUCAAGGCCAACGACACCAUCAAGAUCGAUCUGGAGACCAACAAGAUCAUGGACUUCAUCAAGUUGUAUUUGCCCUUUCAUGGACUUCAUCAAGUUAUAUACUUAGUUAGGCUCAAUGUUAGCACAAACAGUUGAUGAGCAAGUUUAAAUUUAGAGUACACUUAUGUAUGAGUUAUUUGACAAUGCUUAUUUAUGAGAUAUUGAAUGUUAUUUAUCUA